rnacentral:rRNA from 1 species
AUGGCGUCGUCGCUGGACGCGCCCAACCUUGACGAUUACCUCACCGCGGACUCGCUCCCGCAGGAACCUCCCAGGAGUCUCACCCUGCGCGAUCUGCUGGACAUCUCGCCGGUGCUCACCGAGGCGGCGGGCGCCAUCGUCGAUGAUUCGUUCACACGUUGCUUUAAGUCAAAUUCUCCGGAGCCAUGGAACUGGAACAUCUAUUUGUUCCCAUUAUGGUGCUUGGGAGUAGUCAUAAGAUAUGGACUACUGUUUCCGCUAAGGUUCUUAACACUUAUACUAGGAUGGAUGGCCUUCUUUACUGCCUUUUUUCCCGUGCGUUUCCUAAUGAACGGGAAAAAUAGGCUAAAAAGUAAAAUAGAGAGAAAGCUGGUUGAAAUGAUGUGCAGUGUUUUUGUUGCUUCUUGGACGGGAGUGAUCAAGUACCAUGGACCACGCCCAAGCUCACGACCUUAUCAGGUAUUUGUUGCAAACCAUACAUCGAUGAUAGAUUUUAUUAUUCUGGAGCAGAUGACAGCAUUUGCUGUCAUCAUGCAAAAGCAUCCUGGAUGGGUUGGAUUUAUUCAGAAGACUAUUCUGGAAAGUGUGGGUUGCAUCUGGUUUAACCGUAAUGAUCUCAAGGAUCGUGAAGUAGUUGGAAGAAAGUUACGUGAUCAUGUUCAGCAUCCAGACAACAAUCCUCUCUUGAUUUUCCCAGAAGGAACUUGUGUUAAUAAUCAGUACACUGUGAUGUUCAAGAAGGGUGCUUUUGAGCUUGGCUGUGCUGUAUGUCCAAUAGCUAUCAAAUAUAAUAAAAUAUUUGUUGACGCCUUCUGGAAUAGUAAGAAGCAAUCUUUUACAAUGCAUUUGGUUCGUCUUAUGACAUCAUGGGCUGUUGUUUGUGAUGUUUGGUUCUUGGAACCUCAGUAUCUCAGGGAAGGGGAGACAGCGAUAGAAUUUACUGAAAGAGUGAGGGACAUGAUAGCUGCUCGGGCUGGUCUUAAGAAGGUUCCAUGGGAUGGCUAUCUGAAACAUAACCGCCCUAGCCCCAAACAUACCGAGGAAAAGCAGCGCAUGUUUGCUGAAUCUGUGUUGAGGAGACUAGAGGAAAACUAA